rnacentral:rRNA from 1 species
AUUGAACGCUAGCGGGAUGCUUUACACAUGCAAGUCGAACGGCAGCGCGGACUUCGGUCUGGCGGCGAGUGGCGAACGGGUGAGUAAUGUAUCGGAACGUGCCCAGUAGCGGGGAUAACUACGCGAAAGCGUAGCUAAUACCGCAUACGCCCUACGGGGGAAAGCAGGGGAUCGUAAGACCUUGCACUAUUGGAGCGGCCGAUAUCGGAUUAGCUAGUUGGUGAGGUAACGGCUCACCAAGGCGACGAUCCGUAGCUGGUUUGAGAGGACGACCAGCCACACUGGGACUGAGACACGGCCCAGACUCCUACGGGAGGCAGCAGUGGGGAAUUUUGGACAAUGGGGGCAACCCUGAUCCAGCCAUCCCGCAUGUGCGAUGAAGGCCUUCGGGUUGUAAAGCACUUUUGGCAGGAAAGAAACGUCGCGGGCUAAUACCCCGUGGAACUGACGGUACCUGCAGAAUAAGCACCGGCUAACUACGUG